UACGGGGGGAGCAAGCGUUGUUCGGAUUUACUGGGCGUAAAGGGCGCGUAGGCGGCCAGCACAAGUCAGUUGUGAAAUCCCCGAGCUUAACUCGGAAAGGUCAACUGAUACUGUGCGGCUAGAGUGCGGAAGGGGCAACUGGAAUUCUUGGUGUAGCGGUGAAAUGCGUAGAUAUCAAGAGGAACACCUGCGGCGAAGGCGGGUUGCUGGGCCGACACUGACGCUGAGGCGCGAAAGCUAGGGGAGCGAACGGG
rnacentral:rRNA from 1 species